CUCUUGCUUCUUACACUCUUGCUCCUGAAGAUGUAAGCAAUAAAGUUUUGCCGCAGAAGAUUCUGGUUUGCUGUGUUCUUCCUGGCCGGGCGUGAGAACGCGUUUAAUAACAAUUGGUGCCGAAUUCCGGGACGAGAAAAAACUCGGGACGAGAUCACCGGUGCAAGGAAGAUCCCUCAUUCCAGAACCAGAACUGCGGGUCGCGGUAAUAAAGGUUCCCGUAAAGCAGACUGUUAAGAAGGAUUCAACUGUAUGAAUUCAGAACUUUUCAGCUGGGGAACGACCAGUGAGUACAGCUUUACGAGGUAAGCCUGGCCUUGAACUUUCUAAGGAAAUUCAAGACAGUCUAUCAGAAGUAAAGUGGAAAAUAGCUUUAUAAGAUAUGUUUGGCCUUGAACUUUCUCUAGUGUUAGAAGCCCUUUUGUUCCUUUUCACAUGUUAUCAAGUGGUUAAGGCAGGGCGGAUUCUGGAUGAAGUUCAGGACAAUCUAUCAGAAGUAAAGCGGGGAGAGAGAAUAGGAGCAAAGAAAAAAUAUGGUUCACAAAAUAAGUAUACAGGCCUUUCCAAGGGUCUUGAACCCGAGGAAAAGUUUAGGUCAGGUAAGAAUACCUGGGGAGAGAUUAGAAGGAAGGAGAAGGAAAAAGAAAAGAAAAAAGAUCAAUUAGAGGAGCCAGUUCUUAAUAGUUCUGAAUCAGAUGAAAAGGCUAUUAGGGCCUGGAAGGCGCUCUCCCGAGCAGGUGAAGCCACUGGACAAUAAUGACAGAGGCAGGCUCUUGCAGCCUACAAGGUCUUAUUGUCCACCCUAGAGUUGUAGAUCAAGAUUGUAAAGGGGAACUUCAGGUUCUCUGUUCUUGUCCUCAAGUUGUCUUUUCUAUAUCACAAGGGGACAAAAUAGCUCAACUAAUAAUUUUGCCAAGCCUACAUGGCUGUUUUUUCUUCCUCUGAUAUUCCUAGAGCUGCCAGAGGGAUUGGUUCUACUAGAAAUGAUUCUGAUUACUUAAUAAUGCCUUUAGAUUGUUGUCAAAUUUUAUCUACUCACGUAGGGGUAAACCCUCGUGGCGUCAGGCCAUUACAGGUCUGACAAAUGGAUGUCACGCAUAUUUCCUCCUUUGAGAGAAAUCAAUAUUUACAUGUUUAGAAGAAACCCACUUAAAAAUGGGAUUGUGGUAUAUACUGAUGGAUCAAAAACUGGCAUAGGUGCCUAUGUGGCUAAUGGUAAAGUGGUAUCCAAACAAUAUAAUGAAAAUUCACCUCAAGUGGUAGAAUGUUUAGUGGUCUUAGAAGUUUUAAAAACCUUUUUAGAACCCCUUAAUAUUGUGUCAGAUUCCUGUUAUGUGGUUAAUGCAGUAAAUCUUUUAGAAGUGGCUGGAGUGAUUAAGCCUUCCAGUAGAGUUGCCAAUAUUUUUCAGCAAAUACAAUUAGUUUUGUUAUCUAGAAGAUUUCCUGUUUAUAUUACUCAUGUUAGAGCCCAUUCAGGCCUACCUGGCCCCAUGGCUCUGGGAAAUGAUUUGGCAGAUAAGGCCACUAAAGUGGUGGCUGCUGCCCUAUCAUCCCCGGUAGAGGCUGCAAGAAAUUUUCAUAACAAUUUUCAUGUGACGGCUGAAACAUUACGCAGUCGUUUCUCCUUGACAAGAAAAGAAGCCCGUGACAUUGUUACUCAAUGUCAAAGCUGCUGUGAGUUCUUGCCAGUUCCUCAUGUGGGAAUUAACCCACGCGGUAUUCGACCUCUACAGGUCUGGCAAAUGGAUGUUACACAUGUUUCUUCCUUUGGAAAACUUCAAUAUCUCCAUGUGUCCAUUGACACAUGUUCUGGCAUCAUGUUUGCCUCUCCGUUAACCGGAGAAAAAGCCUCACAUGUGAUUCAACAUUGUCUUGAGGCAUGGAGUGCUUGGGGGAAACCCAAACUCCUUAAGACUGAUAAUGGACCAGCUUAUACGUCUCAAAAAUUCCAACAGUUCUGCCGUCAGAUGGAUGUGACCCACCUGACUGGACUUCCAUACAACCCUCAAGGACAGGGUAUUGUUGAGCGUGCGCAUCGCACCCUCAAAACCUAUCUUAUAAAACAGAAGAGGGGAAUUGAAGAGAUUUUACCCCGAGCACCAAGAGUGUCUGUGUCUUUGGCACUCUUUACACUCAAUUUUUUAAAUAUUGAUGCUCAUGGCCAUACUGCGGCUGAACGUCAUUGUACAGAGCCAGAUAGGCCCAAUGAGAUGGUUAAAUGGAAAAAUGUCCUUGAUAAUAAAUGGUAUGGCCCGGAUCCUAUUUUGAUAAGAUCCAGGGGAGCUAUCUGUGUUUUCCCACAGAAUGAAGACAACCCAUUUUGGAUACCAGAAAGACUCACCCGAAAAAUCCAGACUGACCAAGGGAAUACUAAUGUCCCUCGUCUUGGUGAUGUCCAGGGCGUCAAUAAUAAAGAGAGAGCAGCGUUGGGGGAUAAUGUCGAUAUUUCCACUCCCAAUGACGGUGAUGUAUAAUGCUCAAGUAUUCUCCUGCUUUUUUACCACUAACUAGGAACUGGGUUUAGCCUUGAUUCAGACAGCCUUGGCUCUGUCUGGACAGGUCCAGACGACUGACACCAUUAACACUUUGUCAGCCUCAGUGACUACAGUCAUAGAUAAACAGGCCUCAGCUAAUGUCAAGAUACAGAGAGGUCUCAUGCUGGUUAAUCAAUGCAUAGAUCUUGUCCAGAUACAACUAGAUGUAUUAUGACAAAUAACUCAGCAGGGAUGUGAACAAAAGUUUCCGGGAUUGUGUGUUAUUUCCAUUCAGUAUGUUAAAUUUACUAGGGCAGCUAAUUUGUCAAAAAAGUCUUUUUCAGUAUAUGUUACAGAAUUGGACGGCUGAAUUUGAACAGAUCCUUCGGGAAUUGAGACUUCAGGUCAACUCCACGCGCUUGGACCUGUCCCUGACCAAAGGAUUACCCAAUUGGAUCUCCUCAGCAUUUUCUUUCUUUAAAAAAUGGGUGGGAUUAAUAUUAUUUGGAGAUACACUUUGCUGUGGAUUAGUGUUGCUUCUUUGAUUGGUCUGUAAGCUUAAGGCCCAAACUAGGAGAGACAAGGUGGUUAUUGCCCAGGCGCUUGCAGGACUAGAACAUGGAGCUUCCCCUGAUAUAUCUAUGCUUAGGCAAUAGGUCGCUGGCCACUCAGCUCUUACAUCUCACGAGGCUAGUCUCAUUGCACGGGAUAGAGUGAGUGUGCUUCAGCAGCCCGAGAGAGUUGCACGGCUAAGCACUGCAGUAGAAAGGCUCUGCGGCAUAUAUGAGCCUAUUCUAGGGAGACAUGUCAUCUUUCAAGAAGGUUGAGUGUCCAAGUGUCCUUCUCUCCAGGCAAAACGACACGGGAGCAGGUCAGGGUUGCUCUGGGUAAAAGCCUGUGAGCCUAAGAGCUAAUCCUGUACAUGGCUCCUUUACCUACACACUGGGGAUUUGACCUCUAUCUCCACUCUCAUUAAUAUGGGUGGCCUAUUUGCUCUUAUUAAAAGGAAAGGGGGAGAUGUUGGGAGCCGCGCCCACAUUCGCCGUUACAAGAUGGCGCUGACAGCUGUGUUCUAAGUGGUAAACAAAUAAUCUGCGCAUGUGCCGAGGGUGGUUCUCCACUCCAUGUGCUCUGCCUUCCCCGUGACGUCAACUCGGCCGAUGGGCUGCAGCCAAUCAGGGAGUGACACGUCCUAGGCGAAGGAUAAUUCUCCUUAAUAGGGACGGGGUUUCGUUUUCUCUCUCUCUUGCUUCUUACACUCUUGCUCCUGAAGAUGUAAGCAAUAAAGUUUUGCCGC
rnacentral:lncRNA from 1 species